CUGUAUUAACAAUAUAUAUCCACCACAAGUCAAAGUAUAUGAGUUAAGGCAAUUGGCAUUGAAGUUUGAGAGGCACUUGGAUUCCGGGAUAAUUGAUUUUGAGUGAUUUCUUGCUUAUAUAGGUAUUGGCUGACGACUAUUCGAAGCUUGCAUUUUUAUGUUCUGAUCGUUCUGUUUGUCAACAUGCGAAAUAUGGAAAGCACUAUACUUUGCGAAUCCCCAGGAUGGGUAGGGAUAUGGCAUAUGAUUGCUGAUCUUGUGACUUGCUUUCUGCCGCCUCAUCAUCAGAUUUAUAUAGAAUUAAUUUAGAACAGACCCCCAGUUAUCAGAACUUACAAGGGGAAGGGCAAAAGAGAGACUGCACCUCCCGCAGCUCAAACCCAGUUGGCAGCUCUGGAUAAAUCACACCAACAUGGAAGCAAAUACCAAUCAUCGCAAUCAAAGGAAUCAUGAAGCAGAAUUCCAGGAAGGCAGCAUGACAUUAAAAGAAGAAGAAGACUCCAACUGAAGGCAUGCAGAAAAGUAGAGAACCUUUAGGUUUGGGUUGGGGGGCUUGGAGCCUAGGGACUCUGGAAGCUGCUUACUGUAGCUCCUGAGUAUUUGGUUUACAUUCCAUUGUUUGGUUGUUCUGUUUACAUUGAGCAUAUAUCCAAUAAAUCAGUGUAAUCUGAACUCCUAUUUAUUCAAUAAAACCAUUACAAUCAAUUACCGUAUUCUGUCAUCACAUAUACAUUCAGCGAAUCACAACACCUUUAUCUAUUUCUUCAGCAGGAUCCCAGCAUCUGAAUACUGUUCCAGAAAUCAGCCAACACCUGCAACAUCAGUUCAUCACAGUCAGGAGGUUACUGCAUUGGAGUUUGACACAAAUGGGAGUUGGAAGUAGCAUGGGGAAGAUAUUAAUAUACAUAACACUUUUAGAUGUUGGGAUACUAUCUAAUGCUUAAUAUUAUUUAUUUAGUUUUUGGUGCGAAAUAGUCAGUUACUUCAUGGACUCUGAAAGGAGUUAUCUGUUGUAAAGCUUAUUAUUUUCCCUAACAUAGUGUUAAGAUACUGCUGUA